UGCAUAUCAAAAGCGGAGGAAAAGAAACCAACCGGGAUUGCCCUAGUAACGGCGAGUGAAGCGGCAAGAGCUCAAAUUUGAAAGCUGGCCCCCUCGGGGUCCGCAUUGUAAUUUGCAGAGGAUGCUUCGGGAACGGCCCCCAUCUAAGUGCCCUGGAACGGGCCGUCAUAGAGGGUGAGAAUCCCGUCUGGGAUGGGGUGGCCGCGCCCGUGUGAAGCUCCUUCGACGAGUCGAGUUGUUUGGGAAUGCAGCUCUAAUUGGGUGGUAAAUUUCAUCUAAAGCUAAAUAUUGGCCGGAGACCGAUAGCGCACAAGUAGAGUGAUCGAAAGAUGAAAAGCACUUUGAAAAGAGAGUUAAACAGCACGUGAAAUUGUUGAAAGGGAAGCGCUUGCGACCAGACUCGCCCGCGGGGUUCAGCCGGCACUCGUGCCGGUGUACUUCCCCGCGGGCGGGCCAGCGUCGGUUUGGGCGGCCGGUCAAAGGCCUCUGGAAGGUAACGCCUCUCGGGGCGUCUUAUAGCCAGGGGUGCCAUGCGGCCUGCCCGGACCGAGGAACGCGCUUCGGCUCGGACGCUGGCAUAAUGGUCGUAAGCGACCCGUCUUGAACCACGGACCA
rnacentral:rRNA from 1 species